rnacentral:rRNA from 1 species
CCCCUAGAUGUUCUGGACCGCACGCGCGCUACACUGAACAGUUCAACAAGUCUUAACCUUGGCCGAUAGGUCUGGGUAAUCUUUGAACGCUGUUCGUGAUUGGGAUAGACCUUUGCAAUUAUGGGUCUUCAACGAGGAAUUCCUAGUAAACGCAAGUCAUCAGCUUGCAUUGAUUACGUCCCUGCCCUUUGUACACACCGCCCGUCGCACCUACCGAUUGAAUGGUCCGGUGAAAUCUCGGGACGGCGGCUUGGUCGCUUGCGUCCGACUGCUGAAACUUGAUUAAACCAUAUCAUUUAGAGGAAGGUGAUNUCGUANCA